rnacentral:rRNA from 1 species
GACGAACGCUGGCGGCGUGCUUAACACAUGCAAGUCGAACGGAAAGGCCCUGCUUUUGUGGGGUGCUCGAGUGGCGAACGGGUGAGUAACACGUGAGUAACCUGCCCUUGACUUUGGGAUAACUUCAGGAAACUGGGGCUAAUACCGGAUAGGAGCUCCUGCUGCAUGUUGGGGGUUGGAAAGUUUCGGCGGUUGGGGAUGGACUCGCGGCUUAUCAGCUUGUUGGUGGGGUAGGGGCUUACCAAGGCUUUGACGGGUAGCCGGCCUGAGAGGGUGACCGGCCACCUUGGGACUGAGAUACGGCCCAGAAUGCUACGGGAGGCAGCAGUGGGGAAUAUUGCACAAUGGGCGGAAGCCUGAUGCAGCAACGCCGCGUGCGGGAUGACGGCCUUCGGGUUGUAAACCGCUUUCGCCUGUGACGAAGCGUGAGUGACGGUAAUGGGUAAAGAAGCACCGGCUAACUACGUG